UACGAAGGGGACUAGCGUUGUUCGGAAUUACUGGGCGUAAAGCGCACGUAGGCGGAUUUGUAAGUCAGGGGUGAAAUCCCGGGGCUCAACCUCGGAACUGCCUUUGAUACUGCAAAUCUCGAGUCCGAUAGAGGUGGGUGGAAUUCCUAGCGUAGAGGUGAAAUUCGUAGAUAUUAGGAAGAACACCGGUGGCGAAGGCGGCCCACUGGAUCGGUACUGACGCUGAGGUGCGAAAGCGUGGGGAGCAAACAGG
rnacentral:rRNA from 1 species